GUUGAAACACCGCUUCCUGUACGAUCACCGAAGUUAAGCAAAGUCGAGCCUGGUCAAUACCUAGAUGGGUGACCGCUUGGGAAUACCAAGUGCUGUAAG
rnacentral:rRNA from 1 species